GCUUCACUCAUCCUAUAAAUUUUAUCUAAUACAUAUUGUCCAAAAUGAAAGCAAUAUUUCUCAUAUUAUGCAUUCUCUUGGCUUCCAUUCUCGCGUUUCCCACUUCCACAAUGGCUCGAGAACUGGCUGAGAAGGAGGCAAUCCCAUCUCGAACUCACUGUCCACUAGAUCCUAAUCGGAGCUGUAUUCCAAAGAGUACUCCAGCUCCUAAGUGCCCAACUUACAGUCGAAACUGCCAUUAAUAUUAUGUUCUGGAAUAUUAUGUUUAAUAAAUUUGCCAACUUUUGUGUUUUAUUGGUAAAGGAAAUUAGAAUCUAAAGUUUCAUGUAUGGUUUGUGUGUUUGAUUGAUGUGAUUGUGAUGUUAUUUCUACUGCUUGAGAUAUGAAAAUAAUAAAGAAAAGCUUGCAUA